rnacentral:rRNA from 1 species
AGAGUUUGAUCCUGGCUCAGGAUGAACGCUAGCUACAGGCUUAACACAUGCAAGUCGAGGGGCAGCAUGGUCUUAGCUUGCUAAGGCCGAUGGCGACCGGCGCACGGGUGAGUAACACGUAUCCAACCUGCCGUCUACUCUUGGACAGCCUUCUGAAAGGAAGAUUAAUACAAGAUGGCAUCAUGAGUCCGCAUGUUCACAUGAUUAAAGGUAUUCCGGUAGACGAUGGGGAUGCGUUCCAUUAGAUAGUAGGCGGGGUAACGGCCCACCUAGUCUUCGAUGGAUAGGGGUUCUGAGAGGAAGGUCCCCCACAUUGGAACUGAGACACGGUCCAAACUCCUACGGGAGGCAGCAGUGAGGAAUAUUGGUCAAUGGGCGAGAGCCUGAACCAGCCAAGUAGCGUGAAGGAUGACUGCCCUAUGGGUUGUAAACUUCUUUUAUAAAGGAAUAAAGUCGGGUAUGCAUACCCGUUUGCAUGUACUUUAUGAAUAAGGAUCGGCUAACUCCGUGCCAGCAGCCGCGGUAAUACGGAGGAUCCGAGCGUUAUCCGGAUUUAUUGGGUUUAAAGGGAGCGUAGAUGGAUGUUUAAGUCAGUUGUGAAAGUUUGCGGCUCAACCGUAAAAUUGCAGUUGAUACUGGAUAUCUUGAGUGCAGUUGAGGCAGGCGGAAUUCGUGGUGUAGCGGUGAAAUGCUUAGAUAUCACGAAGAACUCCGAUUGCGAAGGCAGCCUGCUAAGCUGCAACUGACAUUGAGGCUCGAAAGUGUGGGUAUCAAACAGGAUUAGAUACCCUGGUAGUCCACACGGUAAACGAUGAAUACUCGCUGUUUGCGAUAUACGGCAAGCGGCCAAGCGAAAGCGUUAAGUAUUCCACCUGGGGAGUACGCCGGCAACGGUGAAACUCAAAGGAAUUGACGGGGGCCCGCACAAGCGGAGGAACAUGUG